AACGCCCUGAACUUAAGCAUAUCAGUAAGGGCAGGAAAAGAAACCAACUGGGAUUCCACUAGUAGCGGCGAGUGAACAUGGAUGAGCUCUAAUGGUAAAGUGCAAGCACUGUUGUAAGAGCACUGCUAGCUAGAUCUGCUGGAAUGCAGAGCACAUGCGGGUGACAGCCCCGGACAGCAACAGCAGUGCGGUAGAGCGAGUAGCGUUGCUUGGUAGUGCAAUGUGAACGGGAGGUAGUAGCUUCCAAGGCUAAAUAUACCCAGAGAUCGAUAGCAAAUAAGUAGCGCGAGCGAAGUGUGAAAAACGUCAUUUGGACAGUGAA
rnacentral:rRNA from 1 species